AAAUAAAUAAAAUCUUAAAAAAAAAAAGAAAAAAAAAAAGAAAGAAAGUGGGAAAUGGGAAAAGUGAAGGAAACCUCACUGAAGUGGAGCCCGGAGGCCAGCAGGGGGAGCUGUCACAGCGCACGGCCCUGUGUCCCCGUGUGUCCCUGACAGACCAGGCCAGGACUCUCAGCAGGAGAGAACCCUCAACUGCAGGCCCCAACAGGGGAGAUGUGCCCUGCGUCUCCUACAGAAAACCCACCAGCCCGCAGCUCAGCCUGUGAGAAACCGCCUCACCCUGACUCCCGCGGGGGAGGAAAUCCGGCAGAAAGCCCCAGCACGGGGGCGCAGAGCAACUGGGACUCGGGCUUCGCUGGAAGAAAGGCGGCCCCUGCGACAGCGGUCUGGGCCUUUCUGACACACUGAACACGCACUCACCAGAGAUUCCACUCUGUUUGCCCAGGAGAAGUGAGAACGUAUGUUUACACGAGUCCUCGCACGCGAGCGUGAAGAGCGGCUUCACUCAGCACAGCCCCAGACCGGCGCCCUCAGGCCCCCCCACAGCCGCACAGCUGGGGGAGACGAGCUCCUGACGCACCCACCACCGAUGCAUCUGGAAAACGUUUUGUGAGCCAGAGAAGCCGGAUACAUAAUAGGUCAUUUCCUGUGAUUCCAGAACAGGCACGAUGAGUCUGAACCACGGUGGCCUCUGUGGAGGCGGGGAGGCCUUGCCUCAAAGAACUUUCCGGGGGACGACACGGUUCCAAGUGUUGACAUUCGUGAUGGUCCGUGUUUAUGACUCUCAAGAUGGGUGUGAGUUACAAUUCAGCGUUGACCUCUGAGGCCCGUUGCGCCCUGUCCAGCCCAGCCCCCGGUGCCACAGCCCAGGCCCAAGGACGGGCCUGCCGUGGUCUCACCGCCACCCGAGGGGAAAAGCUGGAGACGGUGAGAAGGUUUUCGCCUGGGGAGGACCAGCGGCCGGUCUGAUGAGCAGGCCUGGGAUGGCCCCGUGGGAUGUACGCUACUCAGCUGCCCCGCAGAAGGCCAGGCCUCCUGCCUCGAGGCCCCCAUGACAGCCUCUGCUCCCUUCUCUCUCAGCCGCAAAACUCCAGCAAGUCGACGCGGAGGAGCGGAGCUUGGGCACGCGGGCUCGCCUGGCCGUGGUUAACCUCAAACGCGGGACUGCCAGUUACUUUACCAGCAAAAGCUGGGUUUGUUGGGGAGGAGGACAGACUUGCAGCCCAGGACAGUAAGCGCUGGUGAAACUGUAGGCAAAUCUGGGGAACAAAGGAGAGGUGGACGCUUUUAGCUUAUAAACCCGCUCUGACAGCUGCCCCCAAGGACCAGCUCUGAGGGUUUGGUGAGUGGGGUGAGUUCCCUGGCCACUGUCGGACCUGUGAUGAUGUCUUAGCCACUUGCCUGACGCCCGGCUCCAGAUUGAGGGCCAGCAUCUCUCUGCCUGGACGCCUCCACGACCACAGGCUUGUGCCACCCCUGGGACCCAUCUGCCAUGAGUCAGGGGCCUCCCUCCAUCCGCAGCUGGGCUGGGCCAGGACCCCAGCGUGGAGGGAAGGAGGAAAAGGUCACCUGUAGCCAUUCUGAUCUGUUUUAAGCAAUUUCUGGAAAACAUGAAUGGCAGAAAAGUUAAUCCUGGAAUUUUUUUACUGAAGUCUUCAGUGGAUGUCAUUUAGACACCAGGGCAAGGGCAGGCAUUGCAGGCUGAUCUCGUGUUGCUUGCUUCCUGUCCCUCACCCCUGGGCAGCCGUGAGGCCGUCCCUCACCCCAGGGUGGACAUGCGGCCUUGACGGCUGUGUGGGCUGUGCUGAGGAGUGGGGGCACUGGACGCCAGGGGCCAGUGGCCACAGGGAAAAGGCAGACUGCGGGUCACGGAAACCUGUCGCAGGGCGACCCCCAGGAGUCCCCCGUGUCCCUCAGGCCAGAACCACAUUAUGCGUGCACCCCAAGUCCGUCACCCACGCCUCUCUGGAGGAGCUCAGGGCCACCAUGCACCUGGACUACACCAGAAGCAGCGGGUUCCGAGGGCAGCCACACCACACAGAUCUCAUCUCCCCAGUGUCUGUGGCAGCCAACGCGGCCGUGGGGUGAGGCAGCGAUCGUGUGUCCCCUCGCUGCUGGGCUCCAGGUUGGAAGGACACCUGGCUGGCCGCUGACCCCGAGCGCAGCACCCGCAGCCUCUGGCCUGUCCGACACGGAGCCACAUGGACUAUCGCGUGUGGACUUGGCCCAGUGCCUGCGGGUCUGGCUCUGCGCUGCACCCGGGGAUCAGGCCACGGCUUCUGGCUCCCGCCUCGGCUGACCCUCGUCGUUCUCGGGCCGCCUGGACCUGCUCUGCUUUCCCACAGGCCCUGAGCCAAGGCCAAGCACCUCGGGGGUGUUGGGCACGCACGGCUUGGCCGCUGUCAGGCAGCUCCCGCUGCUGACACCCGCGGCCCCCCCCGGCCCUGACUCCCGCCCGGGGCAGGUCAGCCACCACGUCACCUCCUCCCCGGGAGACACCAGCCGUGGCCCCAGGCCCCGCACAGCAGCUCUGGCCCCCCCUCCCCGCAAGCUUCUCUGAAGUGUCAGCUCUGCCGGUGGCCCUGACCACCACCUGUGCCCCAGCCCCACGAGCACGGUCUGCACCCCCGUGGCACGGGGGACCCCCACACUGGCAGGGCCACCCCUCACAGCCACCACGUGAGAGCGCUCUUGGGACCUCUGGGCUCUCAAGCCGUCCCCUCCACCCCCUGGCUCUACCAUCCUGCGGGCCUCAGUUUUCUCAUCUAUCAAAUGGGUAAGAGUGCCUACAGCCAGGCUUGUUGUGAGGGCCACGUGCAGCCAGCCCUCGUCCUCCAGGACACCAUUCACCAGGGCCACAGGUCAGUGCUGGGCAGCACCCAGGCUCGGGGAGGUGGCUCCACCGUGGGAUCUCCCCCACGAGGUGCAGGGACACGACACCAUGCUCUGCGGCCGUAUGGCCAGAGGGCCGAGGCCAGCCUUGGGUGAGCUGGUCCAUCAGGCUCCCACUGUCCACCCCAGCCCCUACCCUGAUGACAAACUUGUGACCAGACCUCACUCCUCCCGCCACCACAGCCAGGACGGGGCCUUCCCUGAGGGGUGCACGACAGACAGUGCACUCAGAAGGCUGUGGGCUGGGAGCAGAGGGUUCCUACUGUCAACAGGAAACCACGGGCGCCACGGGGGGCUGCAGGCAUCCUCACUGAUUGUGGGCAUCAUGGGGACUAUGGCUCCAUGGGGACAUGGACAUCAUGGGGAGGUGGGCAUCAUGGGGUCAUCUCUGGGCAUCCUGGGGGGCUAUGGGCAUCAUAGGGAUCAUGGGCAUCAGGGGCCAGGGAGGUGGGAAAUGUCCCCAGCCUUAGGUGGAGGUCUCAUUUUGGGCUGAGUGGGCAGUGCCCAGGAGCCCAGGGAGGCAGGACCAGGAGGGACCCAGGUGCUCUCCAAAGCCCCCCACUCCUGCCUGGCCUGUGCCCCCACCUGCAUCCACUCCUGGGGAAGCUUCAGGAGUGCUGGGAAGAUGUCACCAGAAAGGGGACAGUGAAGUGCACAGACAUGACCUCGAUGAGGGGUCAAAACCACCCACAUCACUGUGUGCGUCUCUCAUUCUACCUUUCUGUCUGGUUAUGAGGUACUGUGGGAAGUGCACACCGAGCUACGCGACAGACGGAGGAGGAGGCCAGCGGGCUUGCCGAGGGGCCAUGUGCCCACUGGAGACAGCGUGCAAGUCCGCAGCGGUAGAAAGACGACCCCAUGCCACCACCCGGAUGAAACCCCGUGUCACCGUUCCUGUCUGCACAGCGAUGUUACCUGUAUCUGAGAUUCCCCGUGAUCACCGUGGCACACUGCUGAGUUUAUACCGACACGUUCCCGGCCACGCAGGUCUGGGCGUGACCACACGACUAACUCCAAACCGCUGGAAGGGAGAAGUGACCUGGCAUCGGGGCGAGAGCACCGGGUCCCUGGGCGACCAGCAGGGAGCCCCCACCCACAUCCGACGUGCAUGAGUGAGAAACAAAUCUGACUGGGUCGGCCCCAAGAUGCUGGGGCUUCUCUGACACCUCAGAGCUGCUUGGCCUCAGGACCAAAGUACAGUUUUACUCACCUAUCGCCGUGAAACAAAGGACCCUAAAACUUAGUAGCUUAAAAACCAGUAAUCGUUCAGUGUCUCUAACAGUUUCUGUGGUCAAGAAUCAGGAGUGAGUCUGCAGGGCUCUGGCUUGGGGUCUCGUGAGGCUGGGGCUGCAGUCUCACCUGAAGGCUUGACUGGGCUAGGGACCCGCUUCCAGGAGAUUCCUUCCCUCACGGGCAGCUGGUGCCGGCUGUUGGCUGGGGGCCUCUGCUCCCGCCCACACGGGACUGUCCACAGCGUGGCCUGAGUGUCCUCAGCACGUGGUGGCGGCUCCCGUGGAGCAGGCGGCCCAGGAGGGAAGGGCAGAGCCACAGUGCACUUUACGACCCGACCUCGGGGCACCCAGCUCACUCCAGCACUGGUCCCCAGUCACACAGGCUGGCCUGAUCCACUGUCUGGAGACAGACAACUGGAAACCAGCCCCCUUUUGUCCCCUACACCUGCUUCUUGCACUGAUGGUGGGAUCUCCAGCAGCCAUCUCGGGCCAUGAGGCUACUUUGAGGAUGGAAACUCUACGUUAUGCAAGGCAGGAAAGAAAAGUCGCCAAUAACACUGUGGAUGCUAGCCUUAGAUUUCCUAAUUCCAGGCUCGUUUCAUGUGAGAGAAAAAUCCUGUAUUAGUUAAGUCCUUGAACUUUGUUAGUAACAACUGAGGUACUUAGCCUCUUUAGAACAUUACUAGCAUUGGUUUUAGCACAUUAAAGUUUUUUAAAUUCUU